rnacentral:lncRNA from 1 species
UUUAUAAUUAAAGUUUUUUAGUAUAAAGAUUAUAGAAGCAAAUAAAAACAUGAGCUAUCAUGUAAAACAGAAGAUAGUUUUGAAAGUAAUGGUCCGUGAUUAAGAAGCUAAGGAAAAGCACAGUGGUUUUGGCAAUGUGACUGAUACAGCAAUUCUAGUAAACCAAGAUAAAAAAAAAAAAAUGGAUCGCAUAGGAUUUCAAGUGUUGCUAUGUGGUCUUGGCUAUUCUGGAACUAUGUAGACCAGGUUGGUCUCAAAUUCUAAAGAUCCUCCUGCCUCUCAAGUCCUGUCAUUAAAAGAAAUCCUUUUAUAUUUGCUUACAAUAUUGUCUCAUGUACCCUAGGCUGGCAUCCAAGUCUAUACGCAGGGCCUGGUCUUGAACCCUGAUCCACUGUGCUACCAUGCCAGGGAUAAAGCAUAAGUGUUUAUGACUUAAAAGGAUGUGACUUUAACACUGUCAAAGACAGGGAAUUGAAACACCUUUCUAUUACCUCAACUGCUCCAGCUGGUCCAGCAGGGUCUUAUUAUGUAGCCCAGCCGUCAAUCAUGUAGCCACGCUUGGCCUACUGGCAGUCUUCCAGCCACCAAAUCAGGCAGUGACUGAGAGAUCUUAAUGCUAACUUCCUAUAAACUCUAAGAUACCAUUAACUUA